GACGAACGCUGGCGGCGUGCUUAACACAUGCAAGUCGAACGGAAAGGCCCUGCUUUUGUGGGGUGCUUGAGUGGCGAACGGGUGAGUAACACGUGAGUAACCUGCCCUUGACUUUGAGAUAACUUCAGGAAACUGGGGCUAAUACCGGAUAGGAGCUCCUGCUGCAUGGUGGGGGUUGGAAAGUUUCGGCGGUUGGGGAUGGACUCGCGGCUUAUCAGCUUGUUGGUGGGGUAGUGGCUUACCAAGGCUUUGACGGGUAGCCGGCCUGAGAGGGUGACCGGCCACAUUGGGACUGAGAUACGGCCCAGACUCCUACGGGAGGCAGCAGUGGGGAAUAUUGCACAAUGGGCGGAAGCCUGAUGCAGCAACGCCGCGUGCGGGAUGACGGCCUUCGGGUUGUAAACCGCUUUCGCCUGUGACGAAGCGUGAGUGACGGUAAUGGGUAAAGAAGCACCGGCUAACUACGUG
rnacentral:rRNA from 1 species